GCGAUCAAACACAGGGCAGAAAUCCUGGGUGAGGCAAUGGAGAGCUGUGCCUCACAUCUAUAUACACAUGAAUAGUGAAAUAAGAUGCUCUUUUCUGUUCUUACAAUUGUAAAUCUGACUCCAGAGGAGUCAGUGCCUCACCAGCCAUGAACCUCAUCACUGGUUAGUUUGAAAGCAGGGCCUCUUCUUGCAAAAACUGUUUUCUGUGUUUAUCUGAUCCUCACACAAUAUAAUCUCCUGACAGAUGCUUACCAUGUAAUUGGGCUGGCAUAUAAGUUUCUGUUGACCCUUUCAAGUUGCAUGUGAGCGGAGCUGCUCUGCAUUAAAAUGUGUGAAAAAUGCUACAAGGCUCACUGUCUCAGGAACUCUUGAAGGAUAUUUAUCUGCUGAAAAAGGGGCCCACUCCGACCCUGAAUGUAGAUAUAUAUACAGCAUAUAUAGACAGCUGAAAUAAUGAGCUUUUCUGGUACAGUCGUCAAAGCACGCUCUUUCUAUCAAAGAAAAAGUUCUAAGAGACUAAACUAAAAAGAAAAAAGAAUGUGAAUGUCAGCGGUCAACUGUAGGGGGCGCGCUGAUAUUGAAACGUUUGUAUAACGGAAAUAGGAAUACGUUGUACGGUCCUUAUUUCCGGUUGCGGAUCCGGCGAAUGAGAGUUGAGUUUUGGCCGUUUGGGUUUCCAGCGGGCGUUCGAGUAAAACAAACCGGGGACGGUGGCUACAUGUGAUUGAUUGAAAUGAAACCCAUCCUGCUGCAGGAUGGGAGCGAUCAAGUACAACGGAGGAGGAGACCUUCUGUUCCUUCUGCAUCGUCGCUAAAGAUCCGCUCUUUGACUGUGCCUCUCUGGAUCACAUCAAGACUUUUAAAACAGAGAGACCGGUGAACUCUGACAUUGCCAUUUCUCCAAUCACGUGCUUAUGGGACGUAGACAGGAGGCCAUGGAAGUGACCACAGCUUCCACCAGGACUGGCAAGUUUGAGGCCAGGUUCUUCCAAGCUGCGUAUGAGGAGGCGUUUGGCAGGAGUCAAAGGUCAUUUUGGUCCCAUCAACUGUGUGGCUUUCCACCCUGACAGCAAGAGGUGUAGCAGCAGACCCAUAUUGCCAUCACCUGGGCCGGUGGACUCCACCACGCCAAGAAGUCCGAAUCAGCUGGGUUCUGUUACGUGAACGACAUCGUCCUGGCCAUUUCUGAGUUGCUCAAGUAAGAAAAGAAACAUUUCAAGUUUUUUUUUUCUUUGUCACCAGAAAUGAAACUUUUGGACAGCAUUUACAGAAUCUUGUAAAAUGUUUACAGGACAUCGGGGCUGGGAAGAGCAAAUACUACGCAGUAAAUUAUCCAGUCAGAGAUGGUAUCAUCAGAGAGCAUAUGUGGACUGUUUUCUUUAUUUCAUCUUGUGUUUCAGGCCAAAAGAAGAGGUUUAAUUAAGUUGUUUCACUCCUGAUGAUGGGACCUUUGUUGAAUCCUGUGAGCACAUGUAGUUGUGAGUAUGUGAUCUGUCCAACUUUACAUGAAGUGUUAAAAUAAAGCUGUAAUGUGUAUCUAUGGACUUUGUAAAUGUAGAGUGUUUUUGCUAUUAAAAGAGUCAAAAGUUAUUCAUUGGGCAAGUAUUGUGGUUGGGUUUUUUUAACUUAGCUUUUUACUCAUAGCGUACUUUUUUAUUAAUUUACAGCGUUUUACUGCAAGUAUAAAAAAUAGAGGUUUUUAGCACAAAUUAUUCACUUGGAGUAUGUCUUGGGGCAUAAACUUUACUUUUCCCUUGUCCUCUCGUUGUAC